UACAGAGGGUGCGAGCGUUGUCCGGAAUCAUUGGGCGUAAAGCGCGUGUAGGCGGCUCGAUAAGUCCGGUGUGAAAUCUUGGGGCUCAACCCCAAGCCUGCACUGGAUACUGUCGAGCUUGAGUCCGGGAGGGGAGAGCGGAAUUCCUAGUGUAGCGGUGAAAUGCGCAGAUAUUAGGAGGAACACCGGUGGCGAAGGCGGCUCUCUGGAACGGUACUGACGCUGAGACGCGAAAGCGUGGGGAGCGAACAGG
rnacentral:rRNA from 1 species